CAAACUUCAGCCAAGGGCCAUCACACCUCGGUUUCAAGAUGUCAGCAGAUCAAUCAAUCCAAUUAUCCCACUCAUCUUAACAGACGUGGCUCUUUUGUAAAAAAUGAGCUGCCCGCAAAACACCACUAUACUCUUCGAUUUAUGGAUGAAAUCCAAGGAGGUGGAUGCCUUUCUAGCACUUGAUUAUUGACCUGCUUACUCUUGUUUACCGCUACUACAACAACAACAACAACAACAACAGAUUUGUUUCAAUGACGGAUUCUAGCUGAAGAAGCUAGAGCAGACUGACCGCCUGCUUCACUAGUUGAUGUGUGAGGAUGAAUUUGGUUGCAGAUUAGUUCUGAUGCUGGGGAUGAUGGUCUUUGGCCGGGAUACCUUUGGGUGAUCUCGGGUUGUCCUGGUACGUAGAACCAAUCAUC
rnacentral:lncRNA from 1 species